rnacentral:rRNA from 1 species
AACGAACGCUGGCGGCAUGCCUAACACAUGCAAGUCGAACGAGACCUUCGGGUCUAGUGGCGCACGGGUGCGUAACGCGUGGGAACCUGCCCUUAGGUUCGGAAUAACUCCCCGAAAGGGGUGCUAAUACCGGAUAAUGUCUUCGGACCAAAGAUUUAUCGCCUUUGGAUGGGCCCGCGUUGGAUUAGCUAGUUGGUAGGGUAAAAGCCUACCAAGGCGACGAUCCAUAGCUGGUCUGAGAGGAUGCUCAGCCACACUGGGACUGAGACACGGCCCAGACUCCUACGGGAGGCAGCAGUGGGGAAUAUUGGACAAGGGGCGAAAGCCUGAUCCAGCAAUGCCGCGUGAGUGAUGAAGGCCUUAGGGUUGUAAAGCUCUUUUACCCGGGAUGAUAAUGACAGUACCGGGAGAAUAAGCUCCGGCUAACUCCGUG